AUAAAUUCAUGGGUCUAUAUAGGGCUACUACGCUCGCGUCCAACGCUCACGUCACGCCUUAAUGCGGUGCUACACUACGCCAUCAAGGUGGACAGACGGGUGUAUAAAUAUGUGUCCAUACCCCCUAUAUGAAUUAAACACUCAAAUAGGGCUACUACGCUUACGUCCAACGCUCACGUCACACCAUAAUGCGGCUAUAUGCUACGCCAUUAACGUGGACAGACACAUAUGGCUAGCUAGCAUUUUCUAUACAUACUCCCUCAUAUAUACAUAUUUAUAUUCACCGAAAAUCCCAUUUUCGGUAACUUUCUCUCAGAGAAAUAAAAGCGUCAAAAUUAAUUGACGUCAAAACUCCAACAAAAGGAAGUGUUCAAUCAUGAACCAUAGCAUGCAUAUUAUUUCAAAUAAAAGUCCACUCACAAAUUAGGCCUAAGCCUGAUGUCGAUCUGGGGUCUCGUCUGCUCGAGCCUCCUCACGUCCUGUUUCAAAUAUAAUAUUAAUUCCCAACCAAAUAAUCCAAUAUUUAAUCACAAUAGGCAAAAUUACCCGAGAGCCAUAAUUACGCUCAUCAUUGCCUAACUUCGAUAUUCUUACAUCGGAACGAUCCGAACUUAAAUAUCAUACUCAACAGUCGUAAAUAAAACCUCUCCAAAAUACGACUUAAAUCCUACGGCCGGAUUCUACAUUAAUUAACCGCCAAAAAUACCAAACUUCGGAAAUUCACAAACCUAUCCAAAUCUCAUCCAAAAAUUCCAUAAAUCACACCAAUUUACUCCUCUUAAUAUUCCACAUUUAAAACCCUAAAAAUCUCCUAACCGGCGACGGCUCCGCCGACAGCGGCGGCCGGCAGCCGUUUUCCGGCGACCUGCAAAUGCUACCAAAUUUUGGCAGCAUCUUCCUCUCAACCUCCUCUACAACAUUCCUAACUACCACAAACUCCAAUUCUAAGCCUAAGCACAUCAAUCGAACACAAAUACACAAAAAGCCCUAGAAAUUUCAAGUUCCCAUUUCUCCUUACCUAGCUCACGACGGAGCGAGCCCUUUGGAGGANNNN
rnacentral:lncRNA from 1 species